rnacentral:rRNA from 1 species
UACGUAGGGUGCAAGCGUUGUCCGGAAUUAUUGGGCGUAAAGAGCUCGUAGGCGGUUUGUCGCGUCUGCUGUGAAAUCCCGAGGCUCAACCUCGGGCCUGCAGUGGGUACGGGCAAACUAGAGUGCGGUAGGGGAGAUUGGAAUUCCUGGUGUAGCGGUGGAAUGCGCAGAUAUCAGGAGGAACACCCGUGGCGAAGGCGGCUCUCUGGGACGGUACUGACGCUGAGACGCGAAAGCGUGGGGAGCGAACAGG